rnacentral:rRNA from 1 species
UUGACCUCAAAUCAGGUAGGACUACCCGCUGAACUUAAGCAUAUCAAUAAGCGGAGGAAAAGAAACUAACAAGGAUUCCCUUAGUAACUGCGAGUGAAGCGGGAAAAGCUCAAAUUUAAAAUCUGGCGGUCUCUGGCCGUCCGAGUUGUAAUCUAGAGAAGUGCUUUCCGCGUUGGACCGUGUACAAGUCUCUUGGAAUAGAGCAUCAUAGAGGGUGAGAAUCCCGUCUCUGACACGGACUACCAGUGCUUUUGCGAUGCGCUCUCAAAGAGUCGAGUUGUUUGGGAAUGCAGCUCAAAAUGGGUGGUAAAUUCCAUCUAAAGCUAAAUAUUGGCGAGAGACCGAUAGCGAACAAGUACCGUGAGGGAAAGAUGAAAAGAACUUUGGAAAGAGAGUUAAACAGUACGUGAAAUUGUUGAAAGGGAAACGCUUGAAGUCAGUCGCGUCGUCCAGGGAUCAACCUUGCAUUUAUUUGUUGGGUGCACUUUCUGUUCGACGGGUCAGCAUCAAUUCCGACCAUCGGACAAGGAUCAGUGGAAUGUGGCAUCCUCGGAUGUGUUAUAGCCUUUGGUCGCAUGCGAUGGUUGGGAUUGAGGAACUCAGCACGCCGAAAGGCCGGGUCUUUUGACCACGUUCGUGCUUAGGAUGCUGGCAUAAUGGCUUUAAUCGACCCGUC